GAUUUCUGGUUUAAUGCACCUGGCCCGCAGCCCUCAAGGCUUGUGAGUGCCGGCGCGCGUUUACCAUCUUUCUAGGUUUGCGCUCUUCCAUUUACUUGGCGGAGUUGCAAUUCUCUAGAUCUUUUACUUUGAAAAAAUUAGAGUGUUUCAAGCAGGCUUUAUGCUAUGAAUACAUUAGCAUGGAAUAAUAAUCUAGGACUUCGGUUCUAUUUUGUUGGUUUCUAUAACUGAAGUAAUGAUUGAUAGGGAUAGUUGGGGGUGCUAGUAUUGGCCGGCCAGAGGUGAAAUUCUUGGAUUCGGUCAAGACUAACUUAUGCGAAAGCAUU
rnacentral:rRNA from 1 species